CAAAGGUUUGGUCCCGGCCUUAUUAUUAGUUGUAGGUAAACUUAACCAUGCCAGAAUCCCCGCACCAGUGAAAAAAUCCCUAAAAAUCUUAAUUGAUUUGAAGGAGAGGGUAUCAAGCACACUUAUUGUAGCUAAAGACGCCUUGCCUAGCCACGCCCCCACGGGAAACAGCAGUGAUAAAAAUUAAGCCAUGAACGAAAGUUUGACUUAGUUAUACCUUUUAGGGUUGGUAAAUUUCGUGCCAGCCACCGCGGUCAUACGAUUGACCCAAACUAAUAAUCACAUCGGCGUAAAGCGUACAACAAGAAAAAAAUUAUAAAAUAGAAUUAAAAGUUUUCUUAUAUGUAAAAAUUCAUUGAAUUUACUAAAACCAAUAACGAAAGUAAUUCUAAUACACUUGAUGUACGACAGCUAAGAUCCAAACUGGGAUUAGAUACCCCACUAUGCUUAGCCGUAAACUUAAGUAAUUUCCAACAAAAUUACCCGCCAGAGAACUACUAGCCACCGCUUAAAACUCAAAGGACUUGGCGGUACUUUAUACCUGUCUAGAGGAGCCUGUUCUAUAAUCGAUGAUCCCCGCUAUACCUUACCACCCCUUGCUAAUUCAGCCUAUAUACCGCCAUCUUCAGCGAACCCUGUCAAGGUCCAAUAGUGAGCACAAUGAUAAUCGUAAAUACGUUAGGUCAAGGUGUAGCCUAUGAGGUGGAAAGCAAUGGGCUACAUUUUCUAGUAUAGAAAAUUACGGAUCCUCUUAUGAAACUAAGAGGUGAAGGAGGAUUUAGUAGUAAAUUAAGAAUAGAGAGCUUAAUUGAACUAAGCAAUGAAGUAUGCACACACCGCCCGUCGCUCUCCUCAAGUACAUAAAUUUGGACACAUUCAUAAUAACCCAACAAAAAUAUUAGAGGAGAUAAGUCGUAACAAGGUAAGCAUACUGGAAAGUGUGCUUGGAAAAAU
rnacentral:ncRNA from 1 species